rnacentral:rRNA from 1 species
UUGGGCACUCUAGCCAGACUGCCGGUGAUAAAUCGGAGGAACGGUGGGGACGACGUCAAAUCAUCAUGCCCUUUAUGUCCUGGGCUACACACGUACUACAAUGGCCGUUACAACGGGAAGCGAAGGAGCAAUCCGGAGCAAAUCCCUUAAAGGCGGUCCCAGUUCAGAUUGUGGGCUGAAACUCGCCCACAUGAAGGCGGAAUUGCUAGUAAUUGCAGAUCAGCAUGCUGCAGUGAAUACGUUCCCGGGCCUU